rnacentral:rRNA from 1 species
GGCAGGCCUAACACAUGCAAGUCGAGCGGAUGAAGGGAGCUUGCUCCUGGAUUCAGCGGCGGACGGGUGAGUAAUGCCUAGGAAUCUGCCUGGUAGUGGGGGAUAACGUCCGGAAACGGGCGCUAAUACCGCAUACGUCCUGAGGGAGAAAGUGGGGGAUCUUCGGACCUCACGCUAUCAGAUGAGCCUAGGUCGGAUUAGCUAGUUGGUGGGGUAAAGGCCUACCAAGGCGACGAUCCGUAACUGGUCUGAGAGGAUGAUCAGUCACACUGGAACUGAGACACGGUCCAGACU